rnacentral:misc_RNA from 1 species
GAUGAAGAACGCAGCGAAAUGCGAUAAGUAAUGUGAAUUGCAGAAUUCAGUGAAUCAUCGAGUUUUUGAACGCAUAUUGCGCCCUCUGGUAUUCUGGCGGGCAUGCCUGUCCGAGCGUCAUUUCAACCCUCGAACCCCUCCGGGGGGUCGGCGUUGGGGAUCGGCCCUUUCACCGGGUGCCGUCCCCCAAAUACAGUGGCGGUCUCGCCGCAGCCUCUCAUGCGCAGUAGUUUGCACACUCGCACCGGGAGCGCGGCGCGUCCACGUCCGUAAAACACCCCAAACUUCUGAAAUGUUGACCUCGGAUCAGGUAGGAAUACCCGCUGAACUUAAGCAUAUCAAUAAGCGAAGGA